AUUGAACGCUGGCGGCAGGCCUAACACAUGCAAGUCGAACGGUAACAGGAAGAAGCUUGCUUCUUUGCUGACGAGUGGCGGACGGGUGAGUAAUGUCUGGGAAACUGCCUGAUGGAGGGGGAUAACUACUGGAAACGGUAGCUAAUACCGCAUAACGUCGCAAGACCAAAGAGGGGGACCUUCGGGCCUCUUGCCAUCGGAUGUGCCCAGAUGGGAUUAGCUAGUAGGUGGGGUAACGGCUCACCUAGGCGACGAUCCCUAGCUGGUCUGAGAGGAUGACCAGCCACACUGGAACUGAGACACGGUCCAGACUCCUACGGGAGGCAGCAGUGGGGAAUAUUACACAAUGGGCGCAAGCCUGAUGCAGCCAUGCCGCGUGUAUGAAGAAGGCCUUCGGGUUGUAAAGUACUUUCAGCGGGGAGGAAGGGAGUAAAGUUAAUACCUUUGCUCAUUGACGUUACCCACAGAAGAAGCACCGGCUAACUCCGUG
rnacentral:rRNA from 1 species